rnacentral:rRNA from 1 species
GCAGCACGGGAGCAAUCCUGGUGGCGAGUGGCGAACGGGUGAGUAAUACAUCGGAACGUGCCCAGUAGUGGGGGAUAGCCCGGCGAAAGCCGGAUUAAUACCGCAUACGACCUACGGGUGAAAGCGGGGGACCGCAAGGCCUCGCGCUAUUGGAGCGGCCGAUGUCAGAUUAGCUUGUUGGUGGGGUAAAAGCCUACCAAGGCGACGAUCUGUAGCUGGUCUGAGAGGACGACCAGCCACACUGGAACUGAGACACGGUCCAGACUCCUACGGGAGGCAGCAGUGGGGAAUUUUGGACAAUGGGCGCAAGCCUGAUCCAGCCAUGCCGCGUGUGGGAAGAAGGCCUUCGGGUUGUAAACCACUUUUGUCAGGGAAGAAACGGCCUUUUCUAAUAAAGAGGGCUAAUGACGGUACCUGAAGAAUAAGCACCGGCUAACUACGUGCCAGCAGCCGCGGUAAUACGUAGGGUGCAAGCGUUAAUCGGAAUUACUGGGCGUAAAGCGUGCGCAGGCGGCUUUGCAAGACAGAUGUGAAAUCCCCGGGCUCAACCUGGGAACUGCAUUUGUGACUGCAAGGCUGGAGUACGGCAGAGGGGGAUGGAAUUCCGCGUGUAGCAGUGAAAUGCGUAGAUAUGCGGAGGAACACCGAUGGCGAAGGCAAUCCCCUGGGCCUGUACUGACGCUCAUGCACGAAAGCGUGGGGAGCAAACAGGAUUAGAUACCCUGGUAGUCCACGCCCUAAACGAUGUCAACUGGUUGUUGGGANGGUUUCUUCUCAGUAACGAAGCUAACGCGUGAAGUUGACCGCCUGGGGAGUACGGCCGCANGGUUGAAACUCAAANGAAUUGACGGGGACCNGCACAAGCGGUGGAUGAUGNNGGUUUAAUUCGAUGCNNCGCNAAAAACCUUUACCUANCCUUG